GGAGAGGUGGCUGAGUGGCUGAAGGCGCACGCCUGGAAAGUGUGUUUAGGUUAAUCCCUAACGAGGGUUCGAAUCCCUCUCUCUCCGCCA
rnacentral:tRNA from 2 species